GGAUGUUAUGAUGAUGGGCAAAUUGUUCAACUGCUCUGAAUGGGCUGAGUGAAAAUAGCCUUUCUGAACAUCC
ensembl:snoRNA SNORD6 small nucleolar RNA, C/D box 6